rnacentral:rRNA from 1 species
CUACGGGAGGCUCCAGUAAGGAAUAUUGCGCAAUGGAGGCAACUCUGACGCAGCCAUGCCGCGUGCAGGAAGAAGGCCUUAUGGGUCGUAAACUGCUUUUAUUUAGGAAUAAACCCCCGAACGUGUUCGGGGCUGAAGGUACUAAACGAAUAAGCACCGGCUAACUCCGUGCCAGCAGCCGCGGUAAUACGGAGGGUGCAAGCGUUAUCCGGAUUUAUUGGGUUUAAAGGGUGCGCAGGCGGGCUAUUAAGUCAGUGGUGAAAUCCCGGGGCUCAACUCCGGAACUGCCAUUGAUACUGAUAGUCUUGAGUUUGGUUGAAGUGGGCGGAAUGUAGCAUGUAGCGGUGAGAUGCAUAGAUAUGCUACAGAACACCAAUCGCGAAGGCAGCUCACUAAGCCAAAACUGACGCUCAUGCACGAAAGCGUGGGGAUCAAACAGGAUUAGAUACCCUAGUAGUC